GCACAAGCGGUGGAGCAUGUGGUUUAAUUCGACGCAACGCGAGGAACCUUACCAGGGCUUGACAUCCCCUGACCGCGUAUGAAAGUACGUUUUCACCCUCGGGUGACAGGGAGACAGGUGGUGCAUGGUUGUCGUCAGCUCGUGUCGUGAGAUGUUGGGUUAAGUCCCGCAACGAGCGCAACCCCUACGUUUAGUUGCUAACGCGUGAAGGCGAGCACUCUAGACGAACUGCCGUUGACAAAACGGAGGAAGGUGGGGAUGACGUCAAAUCAUCAUGCCCCUUAUGUUCUGGGCUACACACGUGCUACAAUGGCCGGUACAGACGGACGCAAAGCCGCGAGGUGGAGCAAAUCCUAAAAAGCCGGUCUCAGUUCGGAUUGCAGGCUGCAAUUCGCCUGCAUGAAGUCGGAAUCGCUAGUAAUCGCAGGUCAGCAUACUGCGGUGAAUACGUUCCCGGGCCUU
rnacentral:rRNA from 1 species